UACAGAGGGGGCGAGCGUUGUUCGGAAUUACUGGGCGUAAAGGGCGCGUAGGCGGCCUUCUAAGUCGAACGUGAAAUCCCCGGGCUCAACCCGGGAACUGCGUCCGAUACUGGGAGGCUUGAAUCCGGGAGAGGGAUGUGGAAUUCCAGGUGUAGCGGUGAAAUGCGUAGAUAUCUGGAGGAACACCGGUGGCGAAGGCGGCAUCCUGGGCCGGUAUUGACGCUGAGGCGCGAAAGCCAGGGGAGCAAACGGG
rnacentral:rRNA from 1 species